GACGAACGCUGGCGGCGUGCUUAACACAUGCAAGUCGAACGGAAAGGCCCUGCUUUUGUGGGGUGCUCGAGUGGCGAACGGGUGAGUAACACGUGAGUCACCUGCCCUUGACUUUGGGAUAACUUCAGGAAACUGGGGCUAAUACCGGAUAGGAGCUCCUGCUGCAUGGUGGGGGUUGGAACGUUUCGGCGGUUGGGGAUGGACUCGCGGCUUAUCAGCUUGUUGGUGGGGUAGUUGCUUACCAAGGCUUUGACGGGUAGCCGGCCUGAGAGGGUGACCGGCCACAAUGGGACUGAGAGACGGCCCAGACGCCUACGGGAGGCAGCAGGGGGGAAUAUGGCACAAUGGGCGGAAGCCUGAUGCAGAAACGCCGCGUGCGGGAUGACGGCCUUCGGGUUGUAAACCGCUGUCGCCUGUGACGAAGCGUGAGUGACGGUAAUGGGUAAAGAAGCACCGGCUAACUACGUG
rnacentral:rRNA from 1 species